rnacentral:rRNA from 1 species
AAAAUUUUAAAGGUCGAACAGACCUAACCUUUUAGCUCCUGCACCAAAAGUUAAUUUUAAUCCAACAUCGAGGUCGCAAACUCUUUUUUCGAUAAGAACUCUAAAAAAAAAUUACG